rnacentral:rRNA from 1 species
CCUACGGGAGGCAGCAGUGAGGAAUAUUGGUCAAUGGGCGGAAGCCUGAACCAGCAAAGUAGCGUGCAGGAUGACGGCCCUACGGGUUGUAAACUGCUUUUAUACGGGAAUAACGCGCCUUACGUGUAGGGCUUUGCAUGUACCGUAAGAAUAAGGACCGGCUAAUUCCGUGCCCGCAGCCGCGGUAAUACGGAAGGUCCGGGCGUUAUCCGGAUUUAUUGGGGUUAAAGGGAGCGUAGGCCGCAUGUCAAGCGUGCUGUGAAAUGUCCGGGCUCAACCCGGGUCUUGCAGCGCGAACUGGCGUGCUUGAGUCCGCAGAAAGCAGGGGGAAUUCGUGGUGUAGCGGUGAAAUGCUUAGAUAUGGCGAAGAACCCGGAGUGCGAAGGCAGCUUGCUGCAGCGGAACUGACGCUGAUGUUCGAAAGCGCGGGUAUCGAACAGGAUUAGAUACCCUGUAGUC